GCCUAGGUCAACUGGUAGAGUAUGGCAUUGGCACUGCCGGGGUUAGGGGUUUGAUUCCCUGUCUAGGUCA